rnacentral:rRNA from 1 species
AGCGAAAGUUACGCUAAUACCGCAUACGAUCUAUGGAUGAAAGCAGGGGACCGCAAGGCCUUGUGCUCCUGGAGCGGCCGAUAUCUGAUUAGCUAGUUGGUGAGGUAAAGGCUCACCAAGGCGACGAUCAGUAGCUGGUCUGAGAGGACGACCAGCCACACUGGAACUGAGACACGGUCCAGACUCCUACGGGAGGCAGCAGUGGGGAAUUUUGGACAAUGGGCGCAAGCCUGAUCCAGCAAUGCCGCGUGAGUGAAGAAGGCCUUCGGGUUGUAAAGCUCUUUUGUCAGGGAAGAAACGGUGGAGGCUAAUAUCCUUCGCUAAUGACGGUACCUGAAGAAUAAGCACCGGCUAACUACGUGCCAGCAGCCGCGGUAAUACGUAGGGUGCAAGCGUUAAUCGGAAUUACUGGGCGUAAAGCGUGCGCAGGCGGUUUUGUAAGUCUGUCGUGAAAGCCCCGGGCUCAACCUGGGAAUUGCGAUGGAGACUGCAAGGCUUGAAUCUGGCAGAGGGGGGUAGAAUUCCACGUGUAGCAGUGAAAUGCGUAGAGAUGUGGAGGAACACCGAUGGCGAAGGCAGCCCCCUGGGUCAAGAUUGACGCUCAUGCACGAAAGCGUGGGGAGCAAACAGGAUUAGAUACCCUGGUAGUCCACGCCCUAAACGAUGUCUACUAGUUGUCGGGUUUUAAUUAACUUGGUAACGCAGCUAACGCGUGAAGUAGACCGCCUGGGGAGUACGGUCGCAAGAUUAAAACUCAAAGGAAUUGACGGGGACCCGCACAAGCGGUGGAUGAUGUGGAUUAAUUCGAUGCAACGCGAAAAACCUUACCUACCCUUGAC